rnacentral:rRNA from 1 species
AUGAACGCUGGCGGCGUGCCUCAUCCAUGCAAGUCGAGCGAACAGACGAGGAGCUUGCUCCUCUGACGUUAGCGGCGGACGGGUGAGUAACACGUGGAUAACCUACCUAUAAGACUGGGAUAACUUCGGGAAACCGGAGCUAAUACCGGAUAAUAUAUUGAACCGCAUGGUUCAAUAGUGAAAGACGGUUUUGCUGUCACUUAUAGAUGGAUCCGCGCCGCAUUAGCUAGUUGGUAAGGUAACGGCUUACCAAGGCAACGAUGCGUAGCCGACCUGAGAGGGUGAUCGGCCACACUGGAACUGAGACACGGUCCAGACUCCUACGGGAGGCAGCAGUAGGGAAUCUUCCGCAAUGGGCGAAAGCUUGACGGAGCAACGCCGCGUGAGUGAUGAAGGUCUUCGGAUCGUAAAACUCUGUUAUUAGGGAAGAACAAAUGUGUAAGUAACUAUGCACGUCUUGACGGUACCUAAUCAGAAAGCCACGGCUAACUACGUG